rnacentral:rRNA from 1 species
UAGGGAAUCUUCCGCAAUGGGCGAAAGCCUGACGGAGCAACGCCGCGUGAGUGAUGAAGGUCUUCGGAUCGUAAAACUCUGUUAUUAGGGAAGAACAAAUGUGUAAGUAACCAUGCACAUCUUGACGGUACCUAAUCAGAAAGCCACGGCUAACUACGUGCCAGCAGCCGCGGUAAUACGUAGGUGGCAAGCGUUAUCCGGAAUUAUUGGGCGUAAAGCGCGCGUAGGCGGUUUUUUAGGUCUGAUGUGAAAGCCCACGGCUCAACCGUAGAGGGUCAUUGGAAACUGGAAAACUUGAGUGCAGAAGAGGAAAGUGGAAUUCCAUGUGUAGCGGUGAAAUGCGCAGAGAUAUGGAGGAACACCAGUGGCGAAGGCGACUUUCUGGUCUGUAACUGACGCUGAUGUGCGAAAGCGUGGGGAUCAAACAGG